rnacentral:lncRNA from 1 species
CAUGGGGCAGGGGGCACUUUGGAGGGGAUUCAUGGCAAUGCAUCUUUUCACUAUAAUAUUUUUUAAAUUUAAACACACUGUAUUUUUCUAUCGCACCUCAUAUAUAAUAUUAGCUAUAAUAAAAUACUGCACCUGGUGUCUGAUGUCAAGGAAUUAUAUUAUUCACACAUAGAAGUGCACACGUGUGGCGUGAACUUAACUCACACCAGCUAAGAACUGUCACACUCUGGACACGUCCUUGUCGCAGCACCCAGAACCUUGGCCCCCCCCGCCCUGGAUUUGGACAGGACACCGGCGCAUGCUCAUCAGAGCCCCUGCGUGGAGCUGCAGGGGUUUGAUCUGAUUGGAUCUGACGCAGGCCGUAGCCCGGGCGCCCCUCUGCCUGCCCCCCAGUCCUCAGAGCCCCCGCCGGGAAGAGGCAGGCGUGGGCAGAGAGCCGUGGGUGGAUGGCACAUCCCCAGGGGACGGCUCCUCACGAGCGACCUCGCUGGCCAGCUGCUAGAAAGUUUGAAAUAAGGGGAAGGAGGAAGCACUGGCCGGCACGUCUGCAGCUGGGCCUGAUGAGUGAGGUGGGAGUCGUGGGGUCUCUCACCCCACCUGGCUGCUGAUCCUGUCCCAAGCGCUCCAGCCCAACCAGCAGCCGCUUCCGCCCCAGGCCUCCGCUUGGUCCACAGGAAGGAUUCGUGCCCUGCUGGUGUCCUGCGCUGCCUGCCUUCUUCCUGAAGGGAGCAGGGUGCACGCACUCGGCCUUCCUGACCUCCCACAGCCACUGCCCCAGAACGGAGCCUCGAUCCUGCCCCAGGCAGCGCCUGCCCACCAGCACCGCUGGCUCAGGGUGCUUCGGGCCCUCAUAAUCUCCAUCAGCGACCGCAGCGCACCCCCAAAUGAACACACUGCACAGCAGCUGUACCAUGGAAGUGAGUUCCUCUAACUUGUCCCCAUCUCCCAAAAUUCUGGAGCUACCAUGAUUGGAAAAGGAGACAUUGUCAAGGGUCCCAGGGUGGCCAGGGAGAGCGGGGCCUGGAAACAGAACCAUUUGCAGAACUGGUGGUGGCAACAGUAGGGCACCCACACCAGAGGAGUACAGAGCUUUUUCUUUUUUGGUUUUUUUUUUUUCAGUAUUGAGGAUUGAAUCCAGGACCUUCACACUGAGCUAUAGCACCAGCCCUUUUUUAUUUGAUUUCGAGACAAGGUCUCCCUAAAUUGCUAAACUGCCCAGGCUGGGAUUGAACUUUCAAUAUUCCUGCCUCAGCCUCCCAGAGUGCUGGGAUGACGGGCGUGCGCCACCACACUCAGCCAGCAGAGAGCAUUUUUUUAUCUGGCUGGCACAGAGCAGAAAUAGAUGCCACGUUUUAUUUACCACUGCAGUCAUCUUUCCAGUAAGGGUGUUCGUCAGCAUUCCGUGGGCGAGGAGAAGCUGCCCCACUAGAAAGUGCUUAGUCCUAGGUCCAGCUCAGUGCUUAGUCCUUAGUCCUAGUCCACAGCCUGCCUUCACCCCUCCACUCCAGCCACCUGCUCCUGGCUGCAUGAGGCACUAAGCCACCCUGGGGCGCUGCAGAAGCGCCCAGGAUACUUGGCCUUGACUUUGCUGGCUGGCUGUGACCUAGGGCCAG